ensembl:lncRNA
CAGAGUCACUACAGAGUGACUCAGGGAAUACAGAGUCUGCUCGUUAAGGAGCCGGUAGGGGUUAGACAGUGGAUACAGAGGCAGGUCAUUAGGGAGCAGGUAGGGGUUAGACAGUGGAUACAGAGGCAGGUCGUUAAGGAGCCGGUAGGGGUUAGACAGUGGAUACAGAGUCUGCUCGUUAAGGAGCCGGUAGGGGUUAGACAGUGGAUACAGAGGCAGGUCGUUAAGGAGCCGGUAGGGGUUAGACAGUGGAUACAGAGGCAGGUCGUUAAGGAGCAGGUAGGGGUUAGACAGUGGAUACAGAGACGGGUCAUUAAGGAGCCGGUAGGGGUUAGACAGUGGAUACAGAGGCAGGUCGUUAAGGAGCAGGUAGGGGUUAGACAGUGGAUACAGAGGCAGGUCAUUAGGGAGCAGGUAGGGGUUAGACAGUGAAUACAGAGACAGGUCAUUAGGGAGCAGGUAGGGGUUAGACAGUGGAUACAGAGGCAGGUCAUGAAGGAGCAGGUAGGGGUUAGACAGUGAUACCAGAGACAGCUCAUUAAGGAGCAGGUAGGGGUUAGAUAGUGGAUACAGAGACAGGUCAUUAAGGAGCAGGUAGGGGUUAGGCUGUGAAUACAGAGACAGGUCAUUAAGGAGCAGGUAGGGGUUAGGCUGUGAAUACAGAGACAGGUCUUAAAGGAGCAGGUAGGGGUGAGAACGUGUGUACAGACAGGUCAUUAAGGAGCAUUGAGUGGUUAGUGCUACCUGCUCAAUGAUGCCUACAGGUAGACGGCAGACAUCAGGUUCCAAACAACACAGAAAACCACACUAUCCUUGCCCACUUGACCUGUUGUCGGCUCUGACCUUUAACCUUCAGCAGAGCAUGGAGAGGGCUGAGGUGAUGACAAGCCGUCCGUGAGAAGGUCAGAGAUUCGGUCUUGGAUCAGAGGAAACAGCUUUCUCUCAGUGGGUUGACUGGGAGGAGACGCUCUCGUAGUGAGACAAACUACACGUGCACGAUACAGUUGAGAGACCCAAAGCAACAUCAACAAAUCCCCUUUCCAGUCAUUCUGCCACUAUGGUCUGUGUGUGAGCGAACGUUUCGAAUAAAUGAUCCGUCUUUCGGAAGUAGGUGAUGGAAG